GUCUUUGGUGAAUAGUCGGUCAAAGCAUAGGCGGGACGACUGCUUGCAGGCAGGAACGCCUAUGCAUUAGACGGACAAACAGACAUGAGCAAGUAGGGCGACAGCCCGGAAUGCGAAUGCGAAUGGCUGUAGCGGUUCGAGAGUGCGAAGCACGGAGAAACGCGUGAUUCACCAAAGAU
rnacentral:sRNA from 10 species